rnacentral:rRNA from 1 species
CAAGUAGGCGGCUAUGUAAGUCUGUUGUGAAAUCCCAGGGCUCAACCCUGGAACUGCAAUAGAAACUAUAUAGCUUGAGUACCGGAGGGGUAAGGGGAAUUCUCGGUGUGAGGGUGAAAUCUGUAGAUAUCGAGAGGAACACCAGUGGCGAAGGCGUCUUACUGGCCGGUUACUAACGCUGAAUUGCGAAAGCUAGGGGAGCAAACAGGAUUAGAUACCCUGGUAGUCC